UACGAAGGUCCCAAGCGUUGUUCGGAAUCACUGGGCGUAAAGGGAGCGUAGGCGGCGUGGUAAGUCAGAUGUGAAAUCCCGGGGCUCAACCCCGGAACUGCAUCCGAUACUGCCGUGCUUGAGGGUUGGAGAGGUAGCUGGAAUUCUCGGUGUAGCAGUGAAAUGCGUGGAUAUCGAGAGGAACACUCGUGGCGAAGGCGAGCUACUGGACAACAUCUGACGCUGGAGGCUCGAAGGCUAGGGGAGCAAAAGGG
rnacentral:rRNA from 1 species